rnacentral:misc_RNA from 1 species
CCGCUCCACUAUGAGUAGAGCAGAGCUGACAUUAGAGAAAUGGAGGAGCAGAGCUGUAAAGGGAGGAGGCUGACUUGGGGCCCUGACGCUGAACAUGUUCCCCGUAUAAAUUUUGCCAUCCACAAACCCUGUUUUUAAUUCUCUCCCUCCAUAAAGGAUGUUCUUCUCUUGACCCAUUAUCUGCAAAUUUUAUUCAUGAUUCUCUCUCCCCAUUUUCCUCUAUCUCCCACUAAAACGAUGAAAAAAUCCCUCCCUUAUCACAAUUUUUUGUUUCAAUUCUCCCUCCUUUUGUACUCUGCGAAAUGGAAUCACGGGUUCGUUUUCUUUUGUCCUAUGGACCAAUUGCUUUCCUCUCGCGUUGCCAUCCUUUCUUUUCUGCUUUUGCUUUUGGGUCCUUUUGCAGAAUCAGUUCUGGUUCCAAAUCAUCUUUACCAGGCUGCAAGCAAAGGCCAUGUUGCUGCUGGAGAGGAUAGCAUCAUAUUGAACCGUAGAUUUGAGGAUGGCCUUAAUAAUUGGUCUGGUAAAGGCUGUAAAAGUGAACUACAUGAAUCUUUGUGAGAUGGAAGAAUCAUUCCACAAUUAUGACACACAGAAAAGUUAAAUGGAAUUUAACAAGAGAUCACUGGAAGAGUGCAGCAACAUGUUGCUUAUCAGGUCAUUGCACUAGUUCAAAUAUAUAGUGGCAAUCUCACCAGUGCUGUUGUGCAGGUCACUUUGUGGUUUCAAGAACAAGAUCUUUGUGAAGAGUACAUUGCCAUUGCCAAAAUUCACAUUUUGGAGUGAAUAUGGUUGAGAACAGCAAUCUUGAUGAUGGCACUACUGGCUGGUUUCCUCUUGGUACCUGAUAUGUCUCUAAAUAGCUGCUGCAUCCUGGUAACCAAUCAUUCAGAUUCUUGGACGGGUCCUGCUCAGAUGAUAACUGAUAAACUGCAACUCUAUUUGACAUACCAAGUAUCUGCUUGGGUUUGAAUUGGUGCUGGAGCAACUGAAGCUCAGAUUUUAAAUGUUGCACUUAGCGUGGAUGGGCGGUGGGUAAUUGGGGGUGAAGUUGAGUCUAAUGAUGACAAGUGGCAUGAAAUUGGUGGGUCCUUUAGAAUUGAGAAGCAGUCAUCCAAUAUUAUGGAUUAUGUUCAAGGUCCUGCUUCAGGUGUUGAUUUAAUGGUUGCAGGAGUUCUUACCUUUCCUGUAUACUGGAAAGAAAGGUUUAAGUAUUUGAGGGAGAAAACAGAUAAAGUAAUGGCAAAAACAACUUUUUAGGUAUUUGCUUUUGAUUGAUUCCCUAUAAAACAAAACUGAAAUCUCGAUCCUUUUGGACAUUGAAUAAGUUGCCUUCUUUAAUUUGAGUGAAUGUUUCUCUCCUAUUCUGGAAAGGAUUUAUAUGAGCUGUUUAUAGUCAUUAAUGGGACAUGCUAUUAUGCACUCUUCUACAUUAAUUUCAUUCCAGCAUUACAGUUACCAAUUAUAGUGUUUCCCUAUCUAACAGCAACCUUCAAUGCAAAACGAAUCUUAGUUCUUGGCUUCUUGCAGUCUUACCUACCUGCUUCUUUAGCUAUUCUUUACAUUUUAUUCUGCAAUCAUAGAAUUUAGUCAGUUGUAAUUUUAGAAGAUCUUAUUUGGUUGGAUAAAUUAUGGAAUAAAUUCUAUAGUUAGAUGAUUUUUUUUUUGUUCAUGAUUAUCACAUUGAGGAUGAAAUUGACAUUAGUUCAACACCAGAGAAAUGCAUACAGCAAUUUCUUGACCUCAAGGAGCAAGGUGCUCCAAUGGGAGGAAUUGGCAUUCAAGGGUAUAUUGGUGUUCCAGUAGGACCCAUUGUUUGUUCUGCUCUGAACAAAUUAGGAACUCUUGGUCUUCCAAUCUGGUUUACAGA